rnacentral:rRNA from 1 species
ACCUACGGGAGGCAGCAGUGAGGAAUAUUGGUCAAUGGUCGGGAGACUGAACCAGCCAAGCCGCGUGAGGGAUGAAGGUACAGAGUAUCGUAAACCUCUUUUGUCAGGGAACAAAGGCGGGGACGUGUCCCCGGAUGAGUGUACCUGAAGAAAAAGCAUCGGCUAACUCCGUGCCAGCAGCCGCGGUAAUACGGAGGAUGCGAGCGUUAUCCGGAUUUAUUGGGUUUAAAGGGUGCGUAGGCGGGAUGCCAAGUCAGCGGUCAAAUACGGGGGCUCAACCUGCGUCCGCCGUUGAAACUGGCGUU